AAAUAAAUAGUUUAAUAAAAACAUUAAUUUUGUAAAUUAAAAAUAAUUAUUUAAUUUUUAUUUA
rnacentral:tRNA from 1 species